rnacentral:rRNA from 1 species
GAGAAGCAAGACCGCGAGGUGGAGCAAAAACUCAAAAAAAUAGGUCUCAGUUCGGACUGCAGGCUGCAACCCGCCUGCACGAAGUUGGAAUUGCUAGUAAUCGUGGAUCAGCAUGCCACGGUGAAUACGUUCCCGGGUCUUGUACACACCGCCCGUCACACCAUGGGAGUCGGUAACACCCGAAGUCAGUAGUCUAACCGCAAGGAGGACGCUGCCGAAGGUAGGAUUGACGACUGGGGUGAAGUCGUAACAAGGUAAC